rnacentral:rRNA from 1 species
CGCAUCUGUGCAUGCAGCAUAUCAAUAAGCGGAGGAAAAGAAACUAACAAGGAUUCCCCUUAGUAACGGCGAGUGAAGCGGGAAGAGCUCAAAUUUGAAAUCUUCAAGGUUUUACCUUGACGAAUUGUAGUUUAAAGAAGUGUUUUCUGUUGAAGUUUUGGUAAAAGUUCUUUGGAAUAGGACAUCAUAGAGGGUGAGAAUCCCGUAUUUGACCAUUAUUUUCAGCUGUGUGAUACACUUUCAAAGAGUCGGAUUGUUUGGGAAUGCAGUCCAAAAUGGGUGGUAAAUUUCAUCUAAAGCUAAAUAUUGGCGAGAGACCGAUAGCGAACAAGUACCGUGAGGGAAAGAUGAAAAGAACUUUGAAAAGAGAGUUAAACAGUACGUGAAAUUGUCAAGAGGGAAGCGUUUGACACCAGUGUUGUUUUCUCGAAAAUCAAUUAAAAAGAGUUUGAUUUUGUUGUGUAUUGACCUUAACAGCUUGCAUUUCAAUUUUCUUGCUUUUUUUAAUGCACUUUUCGUUUAACAAGUCAACAUCAGUUUCUUUUGUUGUAAAAAGGUCAUUGGAAGGUGGCUUUCUUUUCGGAGAAAGUGUUUAUAGCCUUUGACUCCUGCAAUCGGAGAGACUGAGGUCUGCAGCGUAGAUCCUUCGGGGUUAGAUACAUUUGUGCUAAGUUAUAGCUUUUUAUAGACAACUUGUUGACUAUGAUUAGUCUUGUAGCUUACUCGCUUAUGCUAUUUUACCUACGCUUAGGAUGUUGACACACGCGCGUGCUCG